rnacentral:misc_RNA from 1 species
UGAAUUGCGAUAAGUAAUGUGACUUGCAUUCAUUUGUGAAUCAUCGAAUCUUUGAACGCACCUUGCACUUGUGGAGUCUAUCCACGAGUAUACCUGUUUGAGUAUCAUAAACAUUUUCCGAGAGAUUGGGAUUUGAGGUCCACCUGAAUUUAUUUUAGGGAUGGUGUUCCUUUAAAUGCAGUGAGGAACAGAAUAAUUUUUUGAUUCUGGUCGAGUGAGGAUAUUUUUGCAUUCAUGCAAAGAGUAAUCAUAAGAGAGGAAGAACGAGGUUAUUCAAAUUGUUUCUUAAAGGAGGAGGAGGAGGAUUUUACUGCAAAGCAAAAUGUGCCUUCGCAAACGUAAACUACGUAGUAUAAAUGUGAUCUCAAAUCAGGCAAGAGUACCCGCUGAACUUAA